rnacentral:rRNA from 1 species
CAGUAGCCGCGGUAAUACGAAGGGGGCUAGCGUUGCUCGGAAUGACUGGGCGUAAAGGGCGCGUAGGCGGAUUGUUUAGUUAGGCGUGAAAUUCCUGGGCUUAACCUGGGGACUGCGCUUAAUACAGGCAGUCUAGAGUGAGGAAGAGGGUUGUGGAAUUCCCAGUGUAGAGGUGAAAUUCGUGGAUAUUGGGAAGAACACCGGUGGCGAAGGCGGCAACCUGGUCCUUGACUGACGCUGAGGCGCGAAAGCGUGGGGAGCAAACAGGAUUAGAUACCCCCGUAGUCCCUGUCUCUUAUAC